AUGAUAACCAUGAUGAUAACCAAUGAUUCCGUGUGAUUUCCUGUCGCCAUUGCAACAUAAUGAAAUUUGACUUGUGUUUCUAUGCCUAUGGGUUUCCCUGCUAGCACGAGAUAAAAAGCAUGUGCUCAAGUUUACGGCAGGUUUUUACAAAAAUGUGGAGAUUAUACAUAGUUCGAAAUCAGCUAGACCAUCAAGAGAGACGACCAACUUCAACAACAGCUGCUGCUGUUUUGUAGUAUUUGUUUACACACCUGUCAAACAGUUCUUUACCUUGUUUGGAUACCGCUUAUCGAAUACCUACUACCCAAAUCUGGGAUACUAGAUUUUAAGACCCUAGUAUACCCACUUGGAUACUAGUAAAAAAUUCAAAUCUUGAGCCCUAAGCUGGCAGUUAAAAGCGAGUUUUUCAUGUUCAUUCGGGAUUUAAAAAGAUAACUCCUCAACAGGAGGAACUCUGAGUUUAUCCACUGUAUAGCGAUUUAAACAGUCUCAAGGGACCGUUUAAGUUUACAUGCUAGAUAGGCAAAAUUUAACCAGUGGAUAGCGCUAAACGGACUUGUUACAACAUGAUUUUUCGAGCAUUUAAAUUUUAUCCGGCGGAUAGCGAGCUAAAUGAUGGUUAGCAACUUAAACACCUUUGAUACAACCAACCCCUGCAGUACAAUGAUAUAAUUGUACUCUUCUCAACCAAUCAGCAUCCAGUAACUUUGUCAUGCUAAUAAUAAAGGUUAUGCCGAAACAAUCUUCGCCAGCCAAAAAUUGCUGUCAAUAAUUUCAUUGUCAGCAGCAAUUGCCAUUUG